rnacentral:lncRNA from 1 species
CAACAAGAGAUCAAGUCAUCUACUACUUUUGAUCUAAGAUACCUCAAAAGGGAGUUGAUAUAAGUCUAACAACACAGAAGGAAAUAAAAGUGCCUGUGAUUAAAGUGCUUUAAAAUGAUUAGCCACUUGGAACAUUCCUCUGGGGACUCAAAGGCAGAGCUUAGUCUCCUCAAUCAGCAAUAGAAAUUAGUUUAGCCCCAUAGAUGUCUGACCCUCUACUUGAAAGACUCAUGAGGUCAUCCUGAAUAUCAGCCUUAAUUAUUUACUUCUGAAAGGUGGUACAAGUAAUACAUGAAAUAUUUAGGGUUCAGUGCUAGGGAGAAAUACCAGAUUUUUAUCACCAGGGUUUGGAGAGAUUUGAUACUUAUACAGGACAGAAUAACUACUGCAGAUGGAUUCCAGUUUUUAAAGAAGCAACCUGUUCUAACUGUGGUAUAAGUUAAUGUCUAGAAUCUGCAGUUUGACUCCCCAAAUAAUUUGCCAUAAAUGUCAACAUCCC